AGUGAACGCUGGCGGUAGGCCUAACACAUGCAAGUCGAACGGCAGCACAGUAAGAGCUUGCUCUUACGGGUGGCGAGUGGCGGACGGGUGAGGAAUACAUCGGAAUCUACUUUUUCGUGGGGGAUAACGUAGGGAAACUUACGCUAAUACCGCAUACGACCUACGGGUGAAAGCAGGGGAUCUUCGGACCUUGCGCGAUUGAAUUAGCCGAUGUCGGAUUAGCUAGUUGGCGGGGUAAAGGCCCACCAAGGCGACGAUCCGUAGCUGGUCUGAGAGGAUGAUCAGCCACACUGGAACUGAGACACGGUCCAGACUCCUACGGGAGGCAGCAGUGGGGAAUAUUGGACAAUGGGCGCAAGCCUGAUCCAGCAAUACCGCGUGGGUGAAGAAGGCCUUCGGGUUGUAAAGCCCUUUUGUUGGGAAAGAAAAGCAGCAGGUUAAUACCCCGCUGUUCUGACGGUACCCAAAGAAUAAGCACCGGCUAACUUCGUG
rnacentral:rRNA from 1 species